rnacentral:rRNA from 1 species
GGUUCCACUCAGCGUGAUAAGUUAUCUAUCGCUGAGGACACCCUGUUAAAAAGGGGUGGCCAAGGUAAAUG